GCAACAUAAAUCUCCCAACUUGGAAAGCAUUAAGGCCGAGGAGACAUUUUGUGAGUUCAGGGACUCUCCUCCAGUCUGCAUGAACCACGUCUACCCUCAUUUCGGGAAAACACAGGCACCAGCCCUCAAGGUGCUGCGGGAGACAGUACUGACACUGUUUGACUCGCUUGGGGCAGACUGGGGAAAUGAGAGCUGGAAAACUUGAGUUCUCAAGUGAGAGCUGUUGGUCUGCUUUGGAAAAAACCCACUUACGCCAGGAGAAUGAAAGCCCUGAGAAGUUCUCACUGGCUCCACAAAGGCAGGACUGUGUCCUGCUGACAGCCCAUGUGAACCUUGUCACCAUGGUUCAUGUGCAUGGAAGGUGCUAGAAAAUAGCCAUCAAAUGAAGGACAAGGAGAAUGGCUGGGGACAGCUCUGCCAACAUCUUCUUGCUUUGGUGAUGACAGAACUAAAAAAUGCAUGGGUCGAGGGCUCACCACCUGCAGCCAGAGGACUGCGUCAGGACUGUAGAUACAAGGAGGUCCAUGCACCGAAGGAGCUUGGGGCACGGGCAGAGCUUCUCAGAGGGGUGUGGGUAUCAACCCUAUGGUGUUUUGGAAAUUUGGACUGACGUUUUUGUCAUCAUAAAAUUGAGUGGGCAAUGAAGAUAUUCCGUGGGCAGAGGCCAGUGUUGCUGGAGAUCCCAGAAUGCCUAAGAGUAAUGCCUGGAGGAAUGCCACCAUGCUCCUCUCCACACUGUCCUCUGACAGCCAAAGGCUGUCCUGCCUCCUGCACGUCUGUCAGAUGUCCCACCAGACAGUCACUGAUAAGUGAGGAAGCUGGUUAUAAUUAUCUAAGCCUCGUUCCCGAGUCUGUUUUAUAAUUAAACACAAAGGCACGUGUAUGUGUGUGUUUAUAUGUUUCGUUUUAUAUUCAUAUAAGUAUGUAAAUGUUUAGUUUUUGGCUCUGAAUUUUCCACCAUGCAAAUCAAGAGAAGAUUGUAUUUCAUUGUGUUCAGGGUUUCAUUAAGAGUUUUUCUUCUGUAUGGGAUGAAUGUCAUCCAUGCUAUCUGAAUCACCUGAACAGGAUGCUCUGUGGGGCCACACUGUGGGGCUCCUGCAGCACCCAUGGGGUUCCACACAGGGGGCAAGUGCUGACCAUGGCUGUGUGCCUUCUGGUAGUCAGUUGGAACAUUUACUUGUUGAUACAUGUAUAUAUUUUUAUCACAAAUUACUUUUGUUUUUCCUUUCUGUUACAGAUAGGGCAUUGUAUUGAUGGUGUUGUCAUUGUUGAAAUUAUGUGCUUAGGUAGAUUAUCUCCGAAUUUCAUUUCUGGGAAGAAAAAAAGACGCUUUACAGAAUAUCUGUUAUAAGAAGGGGCUGGAGGGUAAGGCAUAGGGACCGCUGAUAUAGGGGACGGAGACAGGAAAACAGGUGGGUAUCGUGCUGGAGAAAUGGGUUGGAGGGCCCCUGCCUGGGAAUGGAAGCAGAGACCCUGAAUACAAAUAGACUAAAGCAAUUUAAUAUAUUAUUUUUAUUUUAGUUUUUGAGACAGGAUCUUGUGGUGUCACCCAGGCUGGCAUAUAGUGGCAUGAUCUCAGCUCACUUGUAACUUUCACCCCCUGGGCUCAGGAGAUCCUCCUAUCUCAGCCUCUCUAGGAGAUGGGACUAUAAACACAUAUUGCGAUGCUUGGCUAAUUUUUACUUUUUUUUUGGUUUCACCAUGUUGCCCAGGCUGGUCUCAAACUCCUGAGCUCAAGCGAUACUCCUGCCUUGGCCUCACAAAGUGCUGGGAUUAAGGUGUGAGCCUCCGUGCCCAGCCAAAAGCACAUUUACUUUAAAAUGCUAUUAGCAUACAUAUUAACUAGAAAGAAAAAUAUCAUAAGCAUUCAAAUCAAAAUAUCUUCCAGCUUGCAUCGGGAAGUGGAAAGAGUUGUGUGUUCUGAAGUUGAUGGUUCCUUAACUUCCACCCUGACUCUGAACCGUAGUUUCCACACCUGUAAAAUAACUGGGUUGGGUUCAAUCUUCUCUGGUGUCUUUCUUUGCUAAAAUUUUAUGAGUCAUCGACAGCAGCUGUCUGAUAGUAAAUCUGUCUCAUUUUUCUUAUCAUGAACUUCAUAAAGAGGCAUGGAUUUUUUUCAUGUUAUUUUUCAGUAAAAAAUUUAAAGACUACUUUUAAAAUAAAAAUUGGGCAGAAGGUGAAAUAAAACCCUGUAAUUCUAUAAAUCUGCAAGUUUGUGGAAAUUUUACUUAGCGUAUAACUGCUAGGUAGAGUUUAAUGAAGAUGUAUGAGUUUCAAAUCCAUCUCUACCAAUCAUUAGCUGCAUGACCUUGCUUAACUUCUUGUCUCAAAAUGGGAACAAUAAUUAUCCCUACCUCUAGUACUAUGAGAUUUAAAUGAGAUAAUGCUUCCAAAACACUUAGAACCUACCAUGCCAUUCAGUUCUGAAAGAUGAAAAAGUUUUAGAGAUUGAAUGCAUAACAGUGGGAAUAUACUUAGCACUAGUCAACUGUACACUUAAAAAUGCUUAAGAUAGUACAUUUUAUGCCAUUUGUUU
rnacentral:tRNA from 10 species